GCGGGCGUAGCUCAAGGGAGAGCGGCAGCAGGCGGGCGGCACAAUGAUUUAUGAGAGCGCGCCGCCGUCCCGUCGAGACAGCAGAUCGUGGUGCAAAUCCACGCGCCCGCGCCA
rnacentral:tRNA from 1 species